UGAGAGAGAUCCGGAGGGGAUCUCUUCCAUUGGAAAGGGAUCAUCUCCGGAUCCUUUCCUCCUAAUCCACCAAGUCCAGGGAUCCAGGCCUUUGAAAUUUGAUCAAACGGCUAAAGUUAUUAUAAAUUUUAAUGUGAGCCCCUAUUUGUGGUCGUUGGAUUAAAUUUCAACGGUCAGGAUCCCUAAAGAAGGGAUCCGAGGAUCCCUUUCCAUGUUUAUCCUACAAAUUAAUAAAAUUUGAAAUUUGUUACUCUGUCCAUUUUUCCUAUUUUCCCUAAUUAUACAAGUAGAAAAGAAUUAGCGUGGAUGAAGCUCGUCCCAUUAACUUAAUUUUGUUUUUUGGUUAAUUACUUCUGGGUUUUGGGUUUGGCUUUAAUAAACUCUUUUUUUUAAUGAUCAUAAACCAAAGAACAUUGUUGUCUAUCGUAUCGUCUUCGUCACUAGUACAUGAGUUUGAGAGAAAGUAAUGGAAUGUGAGUGAUUGAUCCACCGUUUAUAUUUGCACAACACAUAUUAUGUGUGUAUAUACGUUGGAUAAAUGAGGGACUACAAAUAUUGUUUGGAUUACGUUAAUGAGUCCAAAUUGCACCGCCAAGAUGAAAAAUGGUGAUUAUGUCGUAACUUCACCGAUUAUGAACAAAGGUUGCGGUGUCAAUCUUUCACUUUAGACUUAAUGAGGAUACCAUAAUAUAAUGACACUUUGAUUUUGUAGAAAUUUAAAUUGGGCUUCAUCUUUUACUUGUAUAGUGAUUGUGGAGCCAAAAAUAAUCACAAGGUGACACGUGGAUUUUUGGGUAAAAGAUGAUAAAAAUACCCUUGAGGCAUACCGGGAUUCCUACGCGCGAGCAGCGGACAAUCAUCUGUCAAUCAAGUCAAAAGUGUCCAAAAUAGGUAACAAAUUUAAAGAUGUUCUCAUCCAUCCUCAUCUUGAGUAAUUAUUUUAUAACCUACAUAACAUUCCAUUUAAGUGGAGGUUAAUUGGCUAAUUAAUGGAUUAAUUCAUAAUUAAUCUAUUAAUCACCAAUUAAAUCAUCCAUUACAACCCAAAAAAUACCCAAGGGCCGGCCACUCUUUCUUCCAAAGAGGGCCGGUCAUGCUCUAUAAAUAGGACUCCAUUUUCUCUAAAAAGCUAGUUCCACACUCUUGAAAAACUCCAAAAAACUCUCCAAAUAUUUUUCUCUCUAAAUUCUAACUUUGGCAUCGGAGGUUCUUCGGCCAAAGCCCCCCAUUCAUCGUGGAUGCGUGAGGCUGUUGGCCUUAACCCAAGGUGUUAAUUGUUUUGUAGGUGCAAUUUUGUCCAAGAAGAAGAAGGCGGAAAUUUGCAUCCACAAUGAUCACAAAUAUUCUUGACAUGUGUAAUUUUUUUUUUU
rnacentral:lncRNA from 1 species